rnacentral:rRNA from 1 species
GAUGAACGCUGGCGGCGUGCCUAAUACAUGCAAGUCGAGCGAACGGACGAGAAGCUUGCUUCUCUGAUGUUAGCGGCGGACGGGUGUGUAACACGUGGAUAACCUACCUAUAAGACUGGGAUAACUUCGGGAAACCGGAGCUAAUACCGGAUAAUAUUUUGAACCGCAUGGUUCAAAAGUGAAAGACGGUCUUGCUGUCACUUAUAGAUGGAUCCGCGCUGCAUUAGCUAGUUGGUAAGGUAACGGCUUACCAAGGCAACGAUGCAUAGCCGACCUGAGAGGGUGAUCGGCCGCACUGGAACUGAGACACGGUCCAGACUCCUACGGGAGGCAGCAGUAGGGAAUCUUCCGCAAUGGGCGAAAGCCUGACGGAGCAACGCCGCGUGAGUGAUGAAGGUCUUCGGAUCGUAAAACUCUGUUAUUAGGGAAGAACAUAUGUGUAAGUAACUGUGCACAUCUUGACGGUACCUAAUCAGAAAGCCACGGCUAACUACGUG